rnacentral:rRNA from 1 species
GUGGGGAAUAUUGGACAAUGGGCGAAAGCCUGAUCCAGCCAUGCCGCGUGUGUGAAGAAGGUCUUCGGAUUGUAAAGCACUUUAAGUUGGGAGGAAGGGCAGUAAGUUAAUACCUUGCUGUUUUGACGUUACCGACAGAAUAAGCACCGGCUAACUUCGUGCCAGCAGCCGCGGUAAUACGAAGGGUGCAAGCGUUAAUCGGAAUUACUGGGCGUAAAGCGCGCGUAGGUGGUUUUGUAAGUUGGAGGUGAAAACCCCGGGCUCAACCUGGGAACUGCAUCCAAAACUGCAUGACUAGAGUACGGUAGAGGGUAGUGGAAUUUCCUGUGUAGCGGUGAAAUGCGUAGAUAUAGGAAGGAACACCAGUGGCGAAGGCGACUACCUGGACUGAUACUGACACUGAGGUGCGAAAGCGUGGGGAGCAAACAGGAUUAGAUACCCUAGUAGUCC